rnacentral:rRNA from 1 species
UUAGGGUGGCGGACGGGUGAGUAACGCGUAAAGAACUUGCCCCUCAGUCUGGGACAACUGUUGGAAACGACAGCUAAUACCGGAUAUUAUGAGACCUUGGCAUCAAGGACUUAUGAAAGCUAUAUGCGCUGGGGGAGAGCUUUGCGUCCUAUUAGCUAGUUGGUGAGGUAAUGGCUCACCAAGGCGACGAUAGGUAGCCGGCCUGAGAGGGUGAACGGCCACAAGGGGACUGAGACACGGCCCUUACUCCUACGGGAGGCAGCAGUGGGGAAUAUUGGACAAUGGACCAAAAGUCUGAUCCAGCAAUUCUGUGUGUUUGAUGAAGGCCUUCGGGUUGUAAAGAACUUUCAAUGGGGAAGAAGCAAGUGACGGUACCCAUAGAAGAAGCGACGGCUAAAUACGUGCCAGCAGCCGCGGUAAUACGUAUGUCGCAAGCGUUAUCCGGAAUUAUUGGGCAUAAAGGGCGUCUGGGCGGUUUAUUAAGUCUGAUGUGAAAAUGCGGGGCUCAACUCCGUAUUGCGUUGGAAACUGGUAGACUAGAGUUUUGGGGAGGUAGGCGGAACUACAAGUGUAGAGGUGAAAUUCGUAGAGAUUUGUAGGAAUGCCGAUGACGAAGGUAACUUACUGGACAAAUACUGACGCUAAAGCGCGAAAGCUAGGGGAGCAAACAGGAUUAGAUACCCUGGUAGUCCUAGCUGUAAACGAUGAUCACUGGGUGUGGGGGGGUCGAACCCCUGUGCCGAAGUUAAUGCGAUAAGUGAUCCGCCUGGGGAGUACGUUCGCAAGAAUGAAACUCAAAGGAAUUGACGGGGACC